GCACUUGUGGCUUAAUUGGCAAAAGCGCCUGGUUAUAUUUGGCCCCUUUCGAGAAAUCUAACCAGGAGAUCGCCGGAUCGACACCGGUCAAGUGCC